UGACCUGACACACAAAAAAAUAUAUAAAUUAAAGACAGCGCUUGCUUAUCUGCAACACUUAGGCCUACAUCAUUUUGGUGAUGUCAAAGAUUAAAAAUCAUACAAGAAGCUUACACAAAAUGUAGGCUAUUGCAAAGUCUCAUUGAGAUCAAAGGUCUGAUAAAGCAAUGGGAAAAAAUGUAUCCAAGGGGACUGAAGCACUAAGGUAACAAUCAUCUGCAUAGUUUCAAGACACUGACCUUAUAUCAGCAAUAUGCUGCUGUAGUGCAAUUCCAUGGUAACAAAAUUAUGCUUAGACUCAGUUCACUUUAAAAUGUAAGCCAAACAAAAACCAUUGACUUAAAAGUUUAACAAACCAUAAAACUGUAUGAAAAAGGACAAAUUUGAACAAUUUCCACAGAAAAUAUGUUACAAAAACAAAUUUAGUAAAGUUAUAUCAACGCUGAAUCAAUGUCUCGGAAGAACACAUAAUUAAUUUGCAUUCCUCAAAACAUUAGCAUAAUAGGCCUAUAAGUUUACUGUGACACCAAAAACACCUCAUUUCUAAAUGAGAUUUCAGGAUGGCUAGCUGAAGCUGAAUAUUCCCCCAAAAAUGAUCAUGCGCCAAAACUCAGAGCGCACAACCAGGCAGAAUUUAUGCUUUGAUUAAAACAAUAUACAAUUAAUGCUAAUAGUUUGUUAACAGCAUCUGCGCUUAUUCAAAAAGAUCUAAAUGCAUAUUACCAUGAAACUGAUUGUGAUAAAUCAAGUGAUUGACAUGGAGAUGCAGUUUGAACGUUUCACCGGUAAAACGUGAAGAAUUAUCACUCACAACUGACAGUGAUGAUGGCCUAUUUUGAAAUAAGUUGGUGUUGAGGGUGUUAGAAAUAUAACCUUAUAUAUAUAUAUAUAAAUAUGGCAUAGGCAGAUAUCGCAAUUGGUGGAUGCAUUUCAUACAUAUUCUAUAAUGAUAGGCUGGCUAUUCAAUUGGCUAAAUACGUUGGUACAAACUUUGAUUACCUUUUUAAAAAAAUUAUUAUUACGAUCCCUCACCUACAAAAAUAGCACUACACCACUGCCCAUUGUGGAGUUGAGUUUAGUCGCCUACCAUCAAUCAAACAAAACAAGAGGCAAAGGCUAUUAGUUUGACAGGCCAUGGUUUCCAUUAUAUCCUACAGAACUCCUCUACAUCUGCCUCUGCGUAGUCAAAUUUACACAUAUAAACACCGUAUAUAUUUCAUGAGACUGGCCUUACACAGGCCUAGCCCUGCGCUACAGUACAGUAGUACCGAAUAAACCAAGGAAAGCAGUAAGCAAGACCACAUCGUUCAUAAAUGUGUAAUUAUCUUUGGCAAGACCGUCCCAGGUAGGAAUGUAGAUUCUGUGUGGUCAAUGACCCCUUGAUGCGAUACCUGUGCGCAUGUCAAGAAAGGUGAGCAAGCGAGGUUGUUUUUUAGGGACAUGUCAGUUGACACAGACAGCGCUAGCAGUAGUUAGCUAGCGCAACUAAUACUUAAAACAUUUCUCAAGUGCGUUCGCUGCCAGACCAAUAUAAUUACUUAUACACAUACUUAGACCAUCAGACAAACAUACAUAGUAACGAUAUGAACAGUAAAUUGGAAGUUGGAACUGUGUUAGCUGACUAACGUUAGUAGCAUGCAAGCCAGCAGGCUAGCUUUGAUAACGGAAAUGUAAACAAUCAUCGGAGAAUUCUGCAAAGUGAGACGAACUAAGACCGUGAAUCCAAUCCAAUGAUAUCAACUUUGUUUGUCACUUCCUGCAACGCCCAGUCGGUGAUGAUGUCAUCACGCACUCACCUUUGCAGCCCCCUCGGAGCAUCAGAGCCAUCAGCGCAGGAGCUGGCUUGAGAAAGUUCUCAGGGUCGUGCCUGGGGUCUGGGAAAACAGGAGCUGGAUGGUGUGUCUACUGUAAGUGGUCAUGAAACCCAAUGGCGUGUGAAAUGGACAACUGGGACUUGGUGUUGGAUUUACCCUAGAAUCCUCGGCCGCCAGGCAGCCACGCCUUGCAUGCGAAUCCCUCAGAACUCUAACUUGUUAGAAAAAAAAUAACCCAUUAUGACUCCCUCUGGACAAAGCACCAAAACCCCUCAUCAAGUUCAGGAAGGAGCACCAGUCCAGUCGGUAUGGGUGAUAUUUCACCGUUAUUUUCUCUUCUUGGCAAAGGGCUACAUUAGCCUACUCAGCCGAUGGGGCUGAGUGCCCACAUCCUCCAGAGUCGUUACCCUAAGUUAGAUGUUUACCUAGACAGAUAUCCCCUGCUGAGCCCAGAGCCAGAUCUCAAAGUAUCCACUAACACUCUGCAACGUGCUGUGCCUGGACCUGGGCCAAAGCACCAGAGAGAUGGCGUAGUCGCUAAACCACCCGCCCAAAUCUCAGUUUGAUCCUCCAUUAUCACAUUAACCCUGGCUAAUUGUAAAAUAUAGGUUCCCCAGAGGAAGAGAGGGUAUUUGUACUCCUUUAGGAACAAAUCUCAACCUUUUUAUCUGAUAGUGUAAUCCAAUGCCUUGAAACACAUGGUUUACAGGCCACAUCAGGCCUGUAAAUCAUAUUAUGUUGGCUUGCAAGGUGAUGUGUAAAUCCGAAUAAACACUCUGCCAUGCCUUGGACAAUUUAGUGAGAUAAAUAUGUUGGUACUAUCAGCGCUCAGAGCUCCAAGUGUGCAUUAGAGGUGGAAAAAGUACCCAAUUGUCAUACUUGAGUAAAAGUAAAGAUACCUUAAUAGAAAAUUACUCAAGUAAAAUUGAAAGUCCCCAGUAAAAUCCUACUUGAGUCUAAAAAGUAAAUGUAUUUGAUUUGAAAUAUAAUUAAGUAUCAAAAGUAAAAUAAAUUGCAAAAAUAUAAAUAGUCCUUAUAUUAAGCAAACCAGACGGCACCAUUUUCUUGUUUUUAAAAUUUACGGAUAGCCAGGGGCACACUCCAACAUAACAGACAUAAUUUACAAACGAAGUAUGUGUUUAGUGAGUCUGACAACGAUCGUGACAAUAGCCAUAGCCAGCUAGCUAACAUAGCAUCCCUCUCUGUUUGAGCCGAGUUUUUGAGUUGGCUAAACUGCAUUCGCUAGCUAAGGAAGUGAAAGUUUAAAAAAAAUACAAAAUAUAGCUAGUUCUCUCUUGAUUCUCCAUUUAAGAAAUUAAUUUGUUCAAAACUGUUCUAUUAUUUUCUUUCUCUCUCUUUGAGUCAACUACUCACCACAUUUUAUGCACUGCAGUAUUCGCUAGCUGAAGCUUAUGCUUUCACUACUAGAUUAAUUCUCUGAUCCUAUGAUUGGGAGGACAAGAUGUCAGUUCAUGCUGUAAUAGCUGAUCAGGUGGUGUACAUCCUCCGAAAGUUGUCAUAACUACUGUGUAAGUCUAUGGGAGGGGUGAGAACCAAGUGCCUUCUGUGUUUUGUAUUGAAGUCGAUGUACCCAGAGGAGGAUGGAAACUAGCUGGACUUAGGCUACACCAUGGUGCCACCCUACAGAGUGCUGUUAAGGCUACUGUAGACAUCCUUUAUUGCUAAACAGUUUUUAAAAAACUUGUUUUGUUUUUUUAACUAGGCAAGUCAGUUAAGAACAAAUUCUUAUUUUCAAUGACGGCCUAGGAACAGUGGGUUAACUGCCUGUUCAGGGGCAGAACGACAGAUUUGUACCUUGUCAGCUCGGGGAUUUGAAUUUGCAACCUUCCGGUUACUAGUCCAACGCUCUAACCACUAGGCUACCCUGCCGCCCCAGAACACAGUGUGUUUUAAUCAAUUAUUUGGUGAUGUUAAUAUAGUUAGUAUAGUUUUAUCUUUAAAGGGUAACGUUUGUAAUGUUUCACUAUUUGUACUUCUAUGAAAUUCACUGAGGAGGAUGGUCAUCCCCUUCCUCUUCUGAGGAGCCUCCACUGAAAGCUACUCUACUCGUGCCAAAAUUUGACUGUAGGGUGUCAGCAAAAUAUAAUUAAAACUUGACCCUAUUCACUAAUGGCAAAGAUCAUUUAAUAUUUCCACUUUCAACUGUGUCUGGUGUUAGCUAUUUGCUUUGGAGCAUUCAAGAAUAUUACCUUUGAUUUUGAGUAUCGUUGACACUUCAGAAAGUUGCUGGCAGACCUCGGUCAAAUACAUAU